ACACCCUGCUGUCUCGUAUGGCUUUUUAUUCCUAUGUGAUUAUACAUCCCACUUCAUAUAGGGAUUGAAGCCGUGCAGUACACCAGGGUCU
rfam:Leptosomus discolor contig28528, whole genome shotgun sequence.